CCUACGCGAGGCUGCAGUAGGGAAUCUUCCACAAUGGGCGAAAGCCUGAUGGAGCAACGCCGCGUGGGUGAAGAAGGUCUUCGUAUCGUAAAACCCUGUUGUUAGGUAAGAAAGUGCGUGAGAGUAACUGUUCACCCUUCGACGGUUGCUUACCAGAACGCCACGGCGAACUACGUGCCAGCAGCCGCGCUAAUACGCAGGGGGCAAGCGGUAUCCGGAAUGAUUGGGCGUAAAGGGACAGCAGGCGGGCUUGUAAGUCUGAUGGGAAAGCCUGCGGCUUAACCGGAGUAGUGCAUUGGAAACUGGGAGACUGGAGUGCAGAAGAGGAGAGUGGAACUCCAUGUGUAGCGGUGAAAUGCGUAGAUAUAUGGAGGAACACCAGUGGCGAAGGCGGCUCUCUGGUCUGUAACUGACGCUGAGGUUCGAAAGCGUGGGUAGCAAACAGGAUUAGAUACCCGUGUAGUC
rnacentral:rRNA from 1 species